rnacentral:tRNA from 1 species
AGUCUUAUAUUCAAAUAUGAUUUAAAAUUGCAAAUUUUAAGGUAUAAUAGGUAUUAUUAAGGCUU